rnacentral:rRNA from 1 species
UACGGGGGGAGCAAGCGUUGUUCGGAUUUACUGGGCGUAAAGGGCGCGUAGGCGGUCAGCACAAGUCAGUUGUGAAAUCUCCGGGCUUAACUCGGAAAGGUCAACUGAUACUGUGCGACUAGAGUGCGGAAGGGGCAACUGGAAUUCUCGGUGUAGCGGUGGAAUGCGCAGAUAUCAGGAGGAACACCGGUGGCGAAGGCGGGUCUCUGGGUAGUAACUGACGCUGAGGAGCGAAAGCGUGGGGAGCGAACAGG